AAAAUACAACUUUAACCUUCUCAUGUGAAACCAAAUUGAAGGAGGAAUUCGGGGCUUUCAUUCACGUGAGAAACCAUAUUCUUCCCCAAAUUGAAAAUUCAAAACCUUCUUUUCCUUCAAAUUCUCAAAAAUCAUAUUCUCCUUCAAAUUCCCAAAAAUCGUCUUCUUCAGCACCUUAAGCUCUGAGUGGUACGUGCAACACGCUUGCAGAUCUAUACCAAUGCAAACACUGGCACCAGCUCACCCUUAAGCUCGAACAUUUCGUCGCACUUGCUAUCUUUCAGGUUACAAUUCACAAACAUAGAUGUGUACUAAAAUGUGCAUUCUAAGAAUUGAUUGUCAAUCGAAUUUUUUUAUUUGAAUUACUUGCCAUAUUUUUUUUUUCAAGUUAUUUUUUUUUCUAGGGAGAGGAAUACUUUAUUUUUGAUUCCUCUAUUUUUGUUCUCUAGAUUUGAGGAAUUGGGGGUGGGAGGUUAAAAAAAGACUGAAUUUAUGGUUAAUUAUAUAUAUAUUCUAUGAAAAUUUCGAAGAAUUCCAAGUUAAAAGUUCCUUGGUCAUUGUUUAUCUUUUUGUUGGAUGUAGGCCUCAAGUAUUUGCAAUAAAACAGUAGGUUAUGAAACUACAUUUGUUAGUUUAUUUCCAUUAAUGGAAAAAAUAAAUGGAUUGGACAUGUGGCUCUUAAGGUUCAUAAGGAAUAUGGUAAAAGUAAAAUACAAACUAAUUUUCAUUUUGUAAUAUUUAAGUAAAAAUUGAGCAUUUCAUAUCUUGUAAUUUCCUGAACAAGCUGACAGCUAAACCUCUGUGUAUGUGUGUUGUAUCUAUGCUAAUGGAUAAGUGGAAUUAGUUGAGAUGGCCACCCCUCACUAUGAUUUUGUCCAAAAAGUAAAUUUAGGGAGAAAUCGAAGCUACACAAUAUGUGAAUUGAGAAUGACUUGAGGUUCAUUGCUUGUGAUUUUCUUUGGUUCUUAAUUUCUUGCAUAUUGAAGUUGGUUUUAGAUGUUGAUUUUUGAAGUUGCCGAUGAUAAUCUCCUUUAUUGUCAAAAUGCUUGUGAUUAUAUGAUACCUUCAAACUACUAUAAUAUGUACAAUUGGGUUGAUCUGAUUGUUAAUUUCUCUAACUGAUCAUCAUUGAAACUCGACUACCAUGAUGCUUUAAUAUUAUUUCCUUCGUUUUGUCGAUGGGUUAAACGUGAUGUGCUUAGCUAUGAGGAACAUUAACGCUAUUUAAUGUAAAACACUCAUUAAGUUAGGCUUUCACUAGCUUCUUUUGUUUUCUAGAAGCAACCUUUUAAUUGAACUCUUAGUUAGAUUUAUUGCCUAGCACUUUUAUUUCUAGUUUUUUAUGAGGGCGAUUGAAAAUGAGCUUAGCUUACACUUUACAGUAAAAUUUUUCAGAGAGUCAUAUGUACUUAAAAUGAGGUUCAAAAUUGAUAUUGUACUUGCUCUUCAGUAUUUGAUAGGAUUAGAAAGGAAGUAAAAGAGGAUGUUAAGGAUGAGAUAAUUGACAUAUUGCCCAAAUAUGUAUGUGAGUUGAGAGUAACUUGAGGCUCAUCGUGUUUAACUAUUUUCAAAUUUGAUGUUUUCUUUCUUCUAAGUUUUGAGGAAAACAAAUAGAAGUCUGUACUUAGAAUUGGACUUUAUUCCUUUUAUUAAACUAUCAAGUAAUUUGUGAAGUGAAAUAAAAUCUUUCAUGAUGAUUUUCACGUUUCUGGUUAUAUAGCUGGUGAUUGUAUUUGCAAGAUGUUAAUAGAACUUUUUUGUAGUGAAGUACUACAGUGCUUGCAAUCUGUACAAAAUUUCUUUUUUCUUAUUUGAAAUUUGUAUGCUUAAUUUGGUUUAUACAGCUUAUAGAUCUUGUUCUUAUGUGCUUUACUGUCAUCAUUUAUUCUAAUAUUUGUAAUUGUUUUGUAUUUUGUAGUGUUAUGGAGAAGAUUCAAAUUAAUUCUACCAUAACGACUAGAUGCAAACUAAAAAUAGUAUACGAUGUUUAUGAGAAGCUGGAUAUAAAUUACAAGAACAACUUCAAGAAAGCUACUUUGGAUCACUUCUUAGACUGGAGAAUAUUAGGUUGGCUUCACAAAUUGUACAUCAAUUACUAUCGCAAAAGAUGAAGACCACUAAAAGAUAAACUGCCAAAAAAGAAGCAGUAUGGUUUAAGAUUGAAGAUAAAUAAGCAAGAUUUGGAUUGAAAGAAUUUGUGUUAUUGACCAACUUGAAUGUAGGUGAUUGUAAUGAUGUAGAUAAUACAUUGGGGACUGACUGUCAAAUUGUGGAAAAAAUAAUUUAAGCAAAGUGAGGGAAAGAUUAUUAAGUGAGAUGCGUACAAUGCAUAUGUAAGUUACAAAAAAAGAAAAAGAAAAAAGAGCAACAAGUACAAGUUGGGAUUGAUCGUCAUCUUGGCAUACAUCCUGUGGGCCACGGAGGCGAAUACAUAUAUUAAUUUAUGGUGGUUUCAUUUGGUGGAUGAUCUCAACAUGUUCGAGAAUUAUUCAUGGGAAAAAUUUCAUUUGAAUUCACAAUUAACGUAUUCAAACGUAACAUAGGGGAUAAAUUGAGAAAUUCAAAUGUAUGAUGAGAGUCACAUUGUAGGUAUUCAUUGUAUGAGUUUUUCCUUGUUAUAAUGGUAUGAACAAAUAAGGCACUUGACUUUGUAUUUUUUUUCUCUAUAAAUUUGUACUGUGAGAUAAUAAUGUUUGUUUCACAACGGAUUUGGACAUUUGAAGCGAUUUCAAGUUUGGAAAUCAAGUUUGCUAAGAAAUAUACGAAUGCAAAUCCAAAAAUGCUCGCUUGAAAAAUGUCGAAGAGGUUAACAUCUGUUGCAAUUGAGAAGGUAUUGAAAUAAAAAGAGAAGCUGAACUCGAGAAAGUUUAUUGGAGUAGAUUCUGAUUGUGGAAAAAGAUGAGGAUGCUCCAAACCAUUCAGAAGGAGAUGAGGUUGAGUAUGAUAUUGGCCAUGUGAUUCCUUCCACCAACAAUCUCUUAGGGCGUCACAACCCCCACCCGGUAUCGCAUUUGGCAAUGGAUAUACGAAUGCAAAAUACACUUGCUUCCAACAAAAAUUAGUAUUAAAGGGGUUGCACAGGUUAUAGCCAUCAUCUCAUUUAAACCUUAUGGCAGCAAUUGUAUGUGCGCAUGAUACCAUGUCAAAAUCAAAUUUUUUGCAUGUACACUUUCCUUCAUCCAAGUUCAUAAAGUGGUGUUCUAAAUUGUAACCAACCCGAUACAUGUUUUGGGAUACGUGAUUCACCUCAAACUCAUUUGACUCAUUAUAUUUCAUACACAUUUUCUUCUCCAAAGGUAGCUUGAGGUGGGUUACACAUUUUUCAUUUUCGACAUUUCUUUCACAAAACCACAUUUGCAUAGUCUCUCUGAUAUACUCAAUCAAACCAUGGAAAAUUUUCGAGCACUCUUCAAAAAACAUUAUGCAGUUUUGCAUUAUUUUGUACUCAUGAUAUUGUAACGUAUCCCAAUAAAUAGUGCUCUAACCUAAUAGAGGAAAUUUUUUUCUAAUAGGCA